rnacentral:rRNA from 1 species
GUGCCAGCCGCCGCGGUAAUACGUAGAGUGCAAGCGUUGUCCGGAAUUAUUGGGCGUAAAGGGUACGCAGGCGGCCCUGCAAGUCAAAUGUGAAAGGUCACAGCUUAACUGUGAGAAUGCGUUUGAAACUGUAGGGCUUGAGUACAACAGAGGAGAGCGGAAUUCCUGGUGUAGUGGUGAAAUACGUAGAGAUCAGGAAGAACACCAGUGGCGAAGGCGGCUCUCUGGGUUGAUACUGACGCUCAGGUACGAAAGCUAGGGGAGCGAACGGGAUUAGAAACCCCAGUAGUC